rnacentral:misc_RNA from 1 species
GUUGCGUCACGGGUCGAUUUAAUCACGACUUAUGAGUGACAAUAUACUCGAUGUCGAAGGCACUGUAACCCAACAAGUGGGGAGUUCGAUUUGGUUGGGACAAAUCGAACGAUCUGCGGUAGCAUCGACAAUCGCGUGGUGUGGAUGCAAGUUGAGCCAUGCCCGGAUGUUGUUGUUACUUUGUGAUGUUGAAAGGUGAUGCAAGGGUUUCUUGGUUUGAUGCGUUGUUGUUGAUGACAUUCGUCUCGAGGUGAUGCGGUGUCAUGUUGCUUGUGUAUCCUGGUUUUGAGCUAUUGAGCUUAAAACAUGUGGACUAUCGGUUAGUGACACGGCAUCGCUCCCUUGGUUGAUGAAAGUCAUCCAAUGAUGCGGUGGUUUGUUUGUUUUCUUCUCGCAUCGCUCGGUGCAUUCUGUGGUCAUUUUGGCUGUUGGCAGCUUGCUUGGCAAUUGAGCUUUGUGGGUUGCUACUGGUUGGGUGUCUUCGGGGAUGUCUACCGUAAAGGUGCAUGAGUGGUGUUUGGUUUGUUACGGGUGGUUGGCUCUUUGCUUGCGCAACAACUUCUACCCGGCAUACCUCUUCAGUCUUGUGUCAAUGCUUGUAUUGCAUUGAAUGCACGACGGGUUUCUUGUGUUGCAUGCCUACUUAAUGGUAUCGUUUGUCAAAUUGGUUUUCCUUUUUAUCUUGUGUUGCCUAUGCGAUGUGAGAUGAACCUUGAAGCAGCCUUUGUGAUCCACUAUUUUGAUGCAUUGCAUUGAUUUUGUGGCCCAUUGAGUGUUGUUCGGUCUCAUGGAUAUGGAACCUGGUGUGGGCAUGGAAUCUUAAUGGUUCCUUGUUUGCCCAAGUUUAGCUUUUCUAAAACGAUUGUCU